CGGUAACCUUGUGGUUUUGUGUCGGCGUUGUUGUUGAGAUUCGCUCCGCCGGCUGUUUUCUCUGCAGACGGUUGUUGUGACUCAUCUGUCUCCUGUCAGCAGUGACGGCCAGAGAAAUUUCAUCUCCGCAUCUUCAGCCGCUUGAAACUUUGAAACCAGCGAUAAUCAGAUUUUCAGUGCGACAUUCUUCUUCACUCUGAUGACGGAGACGUGUCGGGUGAAGGAAGUUGGACGAUGACAUUUAGGAAAAGGUCGCCGGCAGGAUUCGAACCCGUGUUAUCAUGUUACGCACCUGAGCACCACCAAGUUAAACUGAGCCUCCCUCUCCCUGCUCUCCUCCUCCUCCUCCUCCUCCUCCUCCUCCUCUGAAGGUCACCGUGAGAUUAAUGAGCUGAUCGCUGACAGAGGAAAUGUGUGUGACACCGCGGCCUUCCUGUCUCCCUCCUCCUGUAAUGAUCAUCAUUUUCUCUUAUCUACACAGCCGCUGACUCUCACAGCAGGUUACUCUGAAUCAGUCUGGAGGACAUACCUGCCUUUCACCCCCAUUUUUCUCGCCGCCCUGCCGUCUCUCAUCCCUGUCGUAAGAUGGAUGACAUUUGUACCAAACGUGUCAUAUCAUGUUUAUAUGAUAUUCUUAUGAACCAACUUUCCCAUCAGGCGAUGGUGUUAUUAAAAGCCAACACAGCUGCCAAAUGGCUGAACGAGUUGGAGUCACACUGCUGGAUAUACUGAAGGACGCCUGGAGGAGAUUCUGUCUGUGUUGUGUAGCAUGAAACUGGGUGUUUUGUAAAGAAGCUGUAUUGUGGCGACAUUUUAAGCCAAACCAUGAUGUUUUCCUAACCUUUAGUUACAAAUAUCACUUGGUUAGGUUUAGAAAUAACAUCAUGUUCUGGUUUAAGCUCGAUGUCCUGACUAUAAAAACACAGGAACAUAUCCAGUGGCUACACGCUUACAGAUGUUGAAGCACAAUCUUGAAUUUCGGUCGCUGGCUUUGCAGUUUUCUCACCUGUAACUCCACAACUACCAACUCCACCUGCUGAUCAGAGGUCAGCGUAUAUGCACAUAACGCACCUGUGAUAUGACAAGAAUUGUAGAAAUAACUAUAUAGUUUGUACGAGACGUGUAAAUGUGAAUUUGUUCCCUAAACUUUCCCCUAAAACGACCCGUUUAGUCUGAACU